UCUACCUCAAAUCAGGUAGGAUUACCCGCUGAACUUAAGCAUAUCAAUAAGCGGAGGAAAAGAAACUAACAAGGAUUCCCUUAGUAACUGCGAGUGAAGUGGGAAAAGCUCAAAUUUAAAAUCUGGCAGUGAUUUGCUGUCCGAGUUGUAACCUAAAGAAGUGUUACCUUCACUGGACCGUGUAUAAGUCUCCUGGGAUGGAGCGUCAGAGAGGGUGAGAAUCCCGUGUAUGACAUGGACUACCAGUGGAUUGUGGUGCGCUCUCAAAGAGUUGAGUUGUUUGGGAAUGCAGCUCUAAAUGGGUGGUAAAUUCCAUCUAAAGCUAAAUAUUAGCGAGAGACCGAUAGCGAACAAGUACCGUGAGGGAAAGAUGAAAAGAACUUUGGAAAGAGAGUUAAACAGUAUGUGAAAUUGUUGAAAGGGAAACGUUUGAAGUCAGUCGCGUUGUUCAGGGAUCAGCCUUGCUGUAUUUUGCUGGGUGAAAUUUGUGGACAACGGGCCAACAUGAGUUUUGACUGCUAGAGAAAGGCAUUGGGAAUGUGGCACCUCUUGGGGGUGUGUUAUAGCCCAAAGUCAUAUAGACCCGUUGGGACUGAGGAAAGCAGCGUGCCGCAAUGGCGGAGUUUCG
rnacentral:rRNA from 1 species